GAUGAACGCUGGCGGUAUGCUUAACACAUGCAAGUCGAACGGACUCUUCGGAGUUAGUGGCGGACGGGUGGGGAACGCGUGGGAAUCUGGCCUUGGGUUCGGGACAACCACUGGAAACGGUGGCUAAUACCGGAUGUGCCGAGAGGGAAAAGAGAAAUUGCCUGAAGAUGCGCUCGCGUCUGAUUAGCUAGUUUGUGAGGUAAAGGCUCACAAAGGCAGCGAUCAGUAGCUGGUCUGAGAGGAUGACCAGACACACGGAGACUGAGACACGGCACAGACUCCUGCGAGAGGCAGCAGUGGGAAAUUGUCCGAAAGGCGCGAGCGCCUGACAGCGACAUACCGCGUGAGAGAAGAAGGCUCUUGGGUUGUACACCUCUUUCCUUAGGGAAGAACAAAAUGACGGUAACGAAGAAAUCAGCAUCGGCUAACUACGUG
rnacentral:rRNA from 1 species